GACGAACGCUGGCGGCGUGCUUAACACAUGCAAGUCGAACGAAGUGGCGAACGGGUGAGUAAUACGUGAGUAACUGCCCUCCUUUUUGGGAUCAGCCUUUGCAACGGCUGCUAAUACCGGAUAGUGGGGGAUGACUCGCGUCCUAUCAGCUUGUUGGUGGGGUAGUGGCCUACCAAGGAGACGACGGGUAGCCGGCCUGAGAGGGCGACCGGCCACAUUGGGCUGAGAUACGGCCCAAACGCCUACGGGAGGCAGCAGUGGGGAAUAGUGCACAAUGGGGGAAACUCGGAUGCAGCAACGCCGCGUGCGGGAGGACGGCCUUCGGGUUGUAAACCGCUUUCAGCCAGGACGCGGUAGUGGCAGAAGAAGCACCGGCUAACUACGUGCCAGCAGCCGCGGUAAUUC
rnacentral:rRNA from 1 species